CGCGUAGGCGGCCGCGUGUGUCGCGUGUGAAAUCCCCGGGCUCAACCCGGGAAGUGCGCGCGAAACUGCGGGGCUCGAGCGGAGGAGGGGAGAGCGGAAUUCAUGGUGUAGCGGUGAAAUGCGUUGAUAUCAUGAGGAACACCGGUGGCGAAGGCGGCUCUCUGGAAUCCUGCUGACGCUGAGGCGCGAAAGUCGGGGGAGCAAACAG
rnacentral:rRNA from 1 species